rnacentral:rRNA from 1 species
UACGUAGGGGGCAAGCGUUGUCCGGAAUCAUUGGGCGUAAAGCGCGCGUAGGCGGCCCGGUAAGUCCGCUGUAAAAGUCCAGGGCUCAACCCUGGAAAGCCGGUGGAUACUGUCGGGCUAGAGUCCGGAAGAGGCGAGUGGAAUUCCUGGUGUAGCGGUGAAAUGCGCAGAUAUCAGGAGGAACACCGAUUGCGAAGGCAGCUCGCUGGGACGUAACUGACGCUGAGACGCGAAAGCGUGGGGAGCAAACAGG